GAUGAACGCUGGCGGCGUGCCUAAUACAUGCAAGUCGAGCGAACAGACGAGGAGCUUGCUCCCCUGACGUUAGCGGCGGACGGGUGAGUAACACGUGGAUAACCUACCUAUAAGACUGGGAUAACUUCGGGAAACCGGAGCUAAUACCGGAUAAUAUAUUGAACCGCAUGGUUCAAUAGUGAAAGACGGUUUUGCUGUCACUAAUAGAUGGAUCCGCGCCGCAUUAGCUAGUUGGUAAGGUAACGGCUUACCAAGGCAACGAUGCGUAGCCGACCUGAGAGGGUGAUCGGCCACACUGGAACUGAGACACGGUCCAGACUCCUACGGGAGGCAGCAGUAGGGAAUCUUCCGCAAUGGGCGAAAGCCUGACGGAGCAACGCCGCGUGAGUGAUGAAGGUCUUCGGAUCGUAAAACUCUGUUAUUAGGGAAGAACAAAUGUGUAAGUAACUAUGCACGUCUUGACGGUACCUAAUCAGAAAGCCACGGCUAACUACGUG
rnacentral:rRNA from 1 species